UGUAGAAUUAGAGCACGGAUUGCUUGGUUAGUAACAUAUUAUUGCUUAUAAUCCCGGUAAAUUUGGACGCUGAUUCAUGAUAUUUUUCUCCCACUCCGCAAUAACUCUCUCCCACUAACUUGAAAACCGAAUCACCAUUCUCUCUCCUGCAAUCGACCUUUCUCUCUUUCCCUCUUUUAUUCAAUUACCGAUUUUCAUUCCUAAUUCACAAUAAACCCAUUCCUAAUUUACAAUAAACCCUUGGUCGCUGCUUGUUUCAGGGUAACAAUGGCGCUUUCUGCUAGGCAUCUCGCGCCGAAGCUCUGAAGUUCGCCACGUUGGGCAAGUCAUCGCUGGUUGUUUGUCAUCCGACGCUUCGGCCUCCGCUCGAGAGCUUUGGGACGCAAUUAUACAAUGCUGAGAAAGAGGAAUACAACCGGAGAGCCUGAGAUAGAAGAGGAAUGCGAAAGACAAUUUGCAUAAGCUCGAAGUCGGUCAGAAAAUGAGGGUUGAUCAGGGAACAAUUCUGAUAAAGACAAAUAACUUUGAAUGGUGAAUGAUAUUGUUUGAAUGUUGAAAAGAUGGCAGCAGAGUACCCCAAACUUUGAAUGGUGAAUGCUAUUGUUUUAGAAAAAUGACAAUAACUUUGUUUGUUUUGUUUUGUUAGGAAUAUUGGUUUGUUUUGGUGGUUUUAGAA